GGAAGCUCCUCCCUGGCUGAGUUACAUGUCAGGGUUUCAUAACAACAGCAACGAGAGCAGCAGUGCGCGGUUGUCCGGUUGAACGGCUCCGAUAAGUGUUUUCGUCAAACGAUAAGAAAUCACACUCGCUGUACACCUGGAAAGUGGCCGUUAAAGGGACAGAAAUGGUAUGACUUCUUAUUAAAGCCAGCAGCUACGUGGUGAGGAAGAUCAGAGCCUCGAUCGCUGAGAAGGAGCAGGCGGAGGAGGGCGAGGGGAAGGUCUUCACACCAUGCAGCAGGUCUAAAGAUAAGGCAAAGGUGCCUCUUGGUUCUGAGCCACCAGCCGCCAUGCUGACCUCUGGCCCCGAGGGAGCUACUGCCGCCCCAUCGACUGAGACUGCAGUGCAGAAAUGUGGAACGUGACGUUAGCGCUGCACUGGGUGUCAUGAUGGAGGGUAGGGAGUUUGGAGUGAGAGAUCUGGUUCUAACGUAGGGGACUAUAGCCAGCCAUUGCAAAAUCUGGUUUACCUGUUUACCUAUUCACCUGUACCUGUAAAGCCCUAGAACACCUAUGCUGAUUUAUAUCUUUUAUGUAAGAACUGUAAGUGCAGUUUCAGUAGGGUAAAUGUGAAAGUAAUUUGAACCCGCCCCAGCUCCCUUACCUAUGGCACUCCAGUGACAGCUUUGCUCACUCUGCUUCUUGCUUGCAGUCCAUGCAGUGCUGCAGCGAGUGAUGGCCUGUUCACCAACCCCUAUGUCUAGGGACCGAGCAAGCCUGAUUUUUCCUACUGUAGCCAUGCAAUCUGGUAUAAUAAAGAGUUUGGUGUCCUCA